ACUUCCGUAUUAGGCAAUCGAAGCUGCGACGCCAUCGAUCGAUUUCUUGGAGUCUCCCUCGACCUCUGAAAACCUUUCUCCCCCAAUUUAGUUAGGCUCGCUGCUUUGGAUUUCGUUUCUAGGGUUCCGAUCCAGGGAGCGAGGCCGCUCGAGAGGGAGGUAUGGAUUGGGGAAGCGUGACCGCGGAGGAUCUGUUCAACGCCCUGCGUGAAGUUGAGUGGUCCUCGCCGCCGCGCUCCAUCUCGGAGUUCUUCUCCCGAUUCACCGUCCCCAGAUCCUACUCUAAAUGGAGCAGUCGACUUAAGUGCAAUCUUUACUACUACAGAACGAAUUACUUCAUCCUGAUCUUUUUUGUUCUUGCUGUGGGAUUUCUUCUGAAGCCUCUUGCUGUUGUUGCAGCCUUUCUCACAGGUUUAAGCAACGCAUUUUUAAACGAUAGCUUUGCCGUAACUUUUAAUGAGAAAGUAACAAGGGCUGUCAGACAGUUUUCUCCUCAUCUAGCUGCAAAGUUGAGACCCCCUAUUGCGCCAGUAAUUGGUGGAAGAUCAUCAACAAAAAGAGCAAUCCAUAUAUGUGGCCGGCCUCGCUGGGUAUUUGUCCUAAUAUCCUCAGCUGCUAGUUGCAUCCUCUGGUUGACCUCCUGCAACCUCCUUUCAGUACUUUGGGCAUUCACCAUUGGGCUGCUUGCAACAAUACUUCAUGCAAGCUUCAGAUCACCCAACCUGAAAGCACGCCUCAACACAUUCCGAGAGGAGUUUCGAGCAGUGUGGCGCAAUUAUAGCGAGCUAUAAUGACUGAGGUGAAGAUUAUUUUCCUGGAAGUGAUUUUUCAUUCUCACACCUUCAGCUCAAAAGUGAAGGACGUAACCCCAAUAGUCAGAUUCGGCUUGAAACUUUCUACUUUCUAGUGAUGCAAGUUUUCCUCCAAGAUGGUCAUUUUAGUUGGAUGGUACAAUCAUGUACAGAAGCUGGUACGAUACGUGCUGCCUUGCCAUCGUCUUAUUGUAGUACAAACUGACAAGUGAUAACCUAAAAUGAUUACUUUGUAAGCUCUGAUUUUAGAAGGGAACUUUGCCAUUGCCUAUCUAUGGAUGCAAAUGCUGAUGGCUUAGUUGUGGAUCAUGCUGGCGAAUAAAAUUACAAUGUUCUAUAGCUUUGUCACCA